UACGGAGGGAGCUAGCGUUAUUCGGAAUUACUGGGCGUAAAGCGCACGUAGGCGGCUUUGUAAGUUAGAGGUGAAAGCCUGGGAGCUACAACUCCAGAACUGCCUUUAAGACUGCAUCGCUUGAAUCCAGGAGAGGUGAGUGGAAUUCCGAGUGUAGAGGUGAAAUUCGUAGAUAUUACGGAAGAACACCAGUGGCGGAAGGCGGCUCACUGGACUGGUAUUGACGCUGAGGUGCGAAAGCGUGGGGAGCAAACAGG
rnacentral:rRNA from 1 species